CUUUUAUAAUAAGCUUGCCUUACAAUAAAAAUGAAAAUAACAAAAUUUGAGUUCAUAGAAAAAUAUUUAAUAGCAGACGGUGUUACUCUCAUAUGGAGGUUCCUAGAGGAUGUCAUGUAUCACAGAAAACCCUCUACACUCCUGGCCCUCAGAGAAGAAAGUGAAAAUGCAUAUGCAGCAAUCUCAGUUCACCCCAGCAGUUCUGGAAGCUCACGGCCAUCACUUUGAGCACCUCUUGUAAUUGUAGAGGCCGAAAGUAACCUGUAUUAAUCUCAUGUCUCAAUAAA
rnacentral:lncRNA from 1 species